rnacentral:rRNA from 1 species
CUUUUUCCUAGGGUUGGCCAACAUCAGUUUCGAUCACUAUAAAAUGACUGGCGGAAUGUAGCUUCGAUUUCGGUUGAAGUGUUAUAGCCUCUGGUAGAUGUGGUGAUUGGGACUGAGGAUUGCAACGAAUAUCCUUUGGGCUAUCCGUCUGGCCUCUGAAAGUUGCUUGGGUGCUGAAAGCUUGCUUAUGGUUAUCUAAGUUAACG